ACUAUGAAUAUGAAGAUGAUGACGAGGAUGAGGAGGAGGAUACAAAGAAGUCGAAAGAAGAGGAUCCUAGGGUUAUCAAAGAGUUGAUUGAUUUGAUAAAAAAAGCAGGUGGUAUUGAAGAACUGGAGAAACAACUCAGAAUUUCUAAAGGAUCAUCACAAACAGAUCAGUUCACAACUCAAACACCUCUUAGUAAAUCUCUUGAGAGGGUCCUCAGUAAAACUUUGAAGAAAACACCAGCUUCCAGGAAAACGGCUUACACUUCUCUCAGAAAUAGCAGAGGACCUCAGAACGAAGGACUUAGAAGCAAUGACGAAAAUAAAUCAGCCAAAUCAGAAACUACCAGAGGAAAGCUAUCAUAUACAUCCAUUAUUCGAAAUAGAUCAACUACGAUCAAAUCAACAGAAGAUGAAGACGAAGAAGACGCUGAUGACAUUGAUGACAAAAACGAGAAAACUUCAGAAAAAUCUAUUGAGUAUGUCAAUAUAAGAAGAAAUAGAAUAAGUUCUUCAACAAGUGAACCUGAAAA